rnacentral:rRNA from 1 species
CAGUAGCCGCGGUAAUACGUAGGGUGCGAGCGUUAAUCGGAAUUACUGGGCGUAAAGCGUGCGCAGGCGGUUUUGUAAGACAGGCGUGAAAUCCCCGGGCUCAACCUGGGAAUGGCGCUUGUGACUGCAAAGCUAGAGUGCGGCAGAGGGGGAUGGAAUUCCGCGUGUAGCAGUGAAAUGCGUAGAUAUGCGGAGGAACACCGAUGGCGAAGGCAAUCCCCUGGGCCUGCACUGACGCUCAUGCACGAAAGCGUGUGGAGCAAACAGGAUUAGAUACCCCCGUAGUCCCUGUCUCUUAUAC